rnacentral:rRNA from 1 species
GAUCAGGCUCAGAACGAACGCUGGCGGCAGGCCUAACACAUGCAAGUCGAGCGCAUCCUUCGGGGUGAGCGGCGGACGGGUGAGUAACGCGUGGGAAUAUGCCCUUUGCUACGGAAUAGUCUCGGGAAACUGGGGGUAAUACCGUAUACGCCCUUUCGGGGGAAAGAUUUAUCGGCGAAGGAUUAGCCCGCGUUGGAUUAGGUAGUUGGUGGGGUAAUGGCCCACCAAGCCGACGAUCCAUAGCUGGUUUGAGAGGAUGAU